GAUGAACGCUGGCGGCGUGCUUAACACAUGCAAGUCGAGCGAAGCACUUUGGAAAGAUUCUUCGGAUGAUUUCCUUUGUGACUGAGCGGCGGACGGGUGAGUAACGCGUGGGUAACCUGCCUCACACAGGGGGAUAACAGUUAGAAAUGACUGCUAAUCCCGCAUAAGACCACGGUACCGCAUGGUACAGUGGUAAAAACUCCGGUGGUAUGAGAUGGACCCGCGUCUGAUUAGGCAGUUGGUGGGGUAACGGCCUACCAAGCCGACGAUCAGUAGCCGACCUGAGAGGGUGACCGGCCACAUUGGGACUGAGACACGGCCCAGACUCCUACGGGAGGCAGCAGUGGGGAAUAUUGCACAAUGGAGGAAACUCUGAUGCAGCGACGCCGCGUGAAGGAUGAAGUAUUUCGGUAUGUAAACUUCUAUCAGCAGGGAAGAAAAUGACGG
rnacentral:rRNA from 1 species